CAGUAGCCACGGUAAUACAGAGGGUGCAAGCGUUAAUCGGAUUUACUGGGCGUAAAGCGUGCGUAGGCGGCUUCUUAAGUCGGAUGUGAAAUCCCUGAGCUUAACUUAGGAAUUGCAUUCGAUACUGGGAAGCUAGAGUAUGGGAGAGGAUGGUAGAAUUCCAGGUGUAGCGGUGAAAUUCGUAGAGAUCUGGAGGAAUACCGGUGGCGAAGGCGGCCCCCUGGACAAAGACUGACGCUCAGGUGCGAAAGCGUGGGGAGCAAACAGGAUUAGAUACCCCCGUAGUCCCUGUCUCUUAUAC
rnacentral:rRNA from 1 species